rnacentral:lncRNA from 1 species
CCCCGGAAAAGUCUCCGGCAGACCUCCGGCGAGGUCUCUGAUGGACUCCGGCCGACCUCCGGCAAUGUCUCCGGCCGAAUUCCGAUGAGGUUUUCAACGGUUACGAAAGCUACUAUCGCCAGCAAGAAAAGCUACUAUCCCUAGCUACAAAAACUACUACCACAGACUACAAAAGCUACUACCGGCAGCAAGAAAAAUUAUUAUCCCUAGCUAGAAAAGCUACUACCACAGACUAGAAAAGCUACUACCACCGACUAUAAAAGCUACUACCGCCAGUAAAAAAAGCUACUAUCCCGAACUACAAAAGCUACUAUCCGUAGCUAGAAAAGCUACUACCACCGACUAGAAAAGCUACUACCACCGACUACAAAAGCUACUACCACCAGCAAGAAAAACUACUACUGCCAGCAACAAAAGCUACUACCAUCGAAUAGAAAAGCUACUACCACCGACUAUAAAAGCUACUACCACCAGCAAGAAAAACUACUACCACCAGCAACAAAAGCUACUCCAUCAACUAGAAAAGCUACUACCACCGACUACAAAAGCUACUACCGCCAGCAAGAAAAACUAUUAUCCCUAACUACAAAAGCUACUACCAUACAUAAUAAAAUCUACUACUACAAAGUAAUACAAAAUAUACUAUUACAGUGUCAAAAAUAUACUAUCGUAAUGACAAAAAUAUACUACUACUGUGUUGGAAAUAUACUAUCAUAACCAUAACCAGUCAAUUGUGAGCUUGUUGAGAGUUGAGCAUGUCAAGAGGACGGUUCCAUUCUCAGUAGAGCCUUCGUUUCCCGACGCCGUCGAUGCCAGCAACGACGGGUUUAUCUGGAUCGGAUCUAGAGGUGAAGGCGCUAGAUGGUUGAGCGGAUCAAAUCAGAAGGCGUCAUCGUCGAUCCGGAGGCUUCGUCGUUGGGCCGGCGACGUCGAGGUCGAAUCAGAAGAGGCCGAGGUUGAGGCAGAAUUAGAAGUCGUCGUUGAUGGAAUUAGACGCAGUCGAGGCGUCAACGUCAAGCUGGCAGCGUCGAGGUCGAGGCGUCAUCGUUGGCCGGCAGCGUCGAGGUCGAGGUCGAGGCGUCGUC